AUGGAAGCCCGAGAGUCAGCCCCAAAAAUUUAUUGGGGGGGGCACAGGGAGAGUGUGGCAGAGUCAGGAGUCAGACCUGAGCCAACUCCCCCUGUUUAUCGUAAGGAGCCAAGGAGGAAACCAGAACCAGAGCUGGUGUUGGAGGUGAGCGAAGCUGAGACUGUGAAGGAGUUAAUGGGGAAAUUGGAGGAGAGAGUUAUGAGGGAGUUGCUGUGUUGGUGCAUGAGGUACGGAAUUCGUCCGACGGAGCGUGUCGGGGAUUUGAUGGCACCUGGGUCAGCUCUCCAUACUCGUCCUGAGGUGCGUGUUAGUCGGCUGGUGAUGAUUGUGCCAGCCUCACGCACCAGGCCUCCUGUGCACCUCCCUAGCCUUGCACGUCCUGUGCCAGCUCAGCGCUACAGUGCGCAUAGCAGUGCUAACCGUGGCGGGUGUGGUACUGGUCAGGCACCGUGUUAUGCGGUGGCACGCACGGUGUCCCCAGUACGCAUGCUUAGCCCGGUACGCUACAUCUCAGCUCCUCACAUCUGCCGGGCUAGGGUGAAGAUCCAGCCAGGGCGGUUGGUGCCAGCCCUGCUCUCAAGAUCUCCAGUACGCCUUCACGGUCCGGUCCAUCCUGUGCCACCUCCACACACCAGCGUGUGUGGCAGCUCCCCGCACCAGGCUUCCUGUGCGUGUCCUCGGCCCAGUACUACCAGUGCCAGCACCACGCACCAGGCCUUCAGUGCGCUUCGCCUGUCCAGCGCUGCCAGAGCCUUCCUCCUCUCCAGCGCUGCCGGAGUCUCCCGCCUGUCUAGCGCUGUCAGAGCCUUCCUCUACAGCGCUGCCGGAGUCUCCCGCCUGUCCAGCGCUGUCAGAGCCUUCCUCCUCUACAGCGCUGCCGGAGUCUCCCGCCUGUCCAGCGCUGUCAGAGCCUUCCUCCUCUACAGCGCUGCCGGAGUCUCCCGCCUGUCUAGCGCUGCCAGAGCCUUCCUCCUCUACAGCGCUGCCGGAGUCUCCCGCCUGUCCAGCACAGUUCGAGCCGUCCUCCUCUACAGCGCGGCCGGAGUCUCCCGCCUGUUCAGCGCUGCCAGAGCUGCCAGUCUGCAAGGAGCAGCCAGAGCUGCCAGUCUGCAAGGAGCUGCCAGUCUGCAAGGAGCUGCCAGUCUGCAAGGAGCCGCCAGAGCUGCCAGUCUGCAAGGAGCCGCCAGAGCCGCCAGUCUGCAUGGAGCAGCCAGAGCCGCCGGUCAGCAUGGAGCAGCCAGAGCCGCCGGUCAGCAUGGAGCAGCCAGAGCGGCGCAGUGGUUAAGGGCGCUGUACUGCAGCGCCAGCUGUGCCAUCAGAGUCCGUGGGUUCGCGCCCAGGCUCUGUCGUAACUGA
rnacentral:lncRNA from 13 species